CCAAUCCCAUGUAGUACUAUAUACUAUAUAGAAGCCGCUUGGGAAGCAGUUGGGAGUCGUCAUGCCUGCUUACAAAGGGCACUUUGGUCAUUUCAAAUUAAUUUUUAAAUUUAUCUUACGCAGGAGUAAGUUAUACUCUAUGUUGCACAUGCUGUACUUUGGAGAGAAAGUUUCCCAAAUUGCAUAAAAGUACCACACGGUGAAUCUAAAUCAUCCCCUUUUCUUCUCUCUUGGCACAAUUCCUACAAUCAGUAGUAUCUUUUGGAGUUGUCUUUGAUUUAAAUUAUUAUUUUCUUGUAUUCCCUGUACAACCAUCUUCUCUUGCUGUGGAGUAACCCCUUCACCAGGAGAUGGAUAAGUAUUAUGAUCUACUAAACAUGUUGAAGAAAGUUGGAUAUCUCCAAGGUGCACAGACAGAAAUGCUGCUUAGUAGUCUCAAACUUGCAACAGUCACUCUCAAGCUACAGAAGAUAAUAAGAAGGCUGUUUUAUGAGUUAGUCAGGAUGAUUUGGCGUAUCGAGAAUGAUGGGUGAUGGAGACUGUGUGAAUGGUUUAUGUUUGGAAACUUCGCGGAAUUAUCUUCUUGGAGUAACUUUUAUAUACAGGAUUUCAAUGGCAAGGGCCAAGGGGUGAUCAAAUCCAUCUGCUUAUUUUACUCGAGGAAUUACCAAGUCUUAUGGCUGCAUAAAAUGGCAGAAACGAUAUGCAGCAGUUACAAUCAUUUGUCACUGCGAAACGACGUUUAAAGGCUGAUGAGUUGCAGAACGCAAUAGAGGAACAACAGAAGAAUUUGGUUGAAGAGAUCAGGAAUGCAGUUGAUGAUCAUAUAAGAGUAGGCUGGAGGAUGCUAUUGGAGGUCCUGAAGUAAUGGCUCUGAAUUAGCGAGUGAAUUACGACUAUGCUCCGUGAUUAUAACUUUAUUCUUUCAUACAUCAGCUAACUGUAGCAACAGAUCUCCUAAUGCAGUACCUAAAUUCAAGUCUUUAA